rnacentral:rRNA from 1 species
AAACAACUCUCAGCAACGGAUAUCUUGGCUCUUGCAACGAUGAAGAACGCAGCGAAAUGCGAUACGUAUGUGAAUUGCAGAAUUCCGCGAAUCAUCGAGUCUUUGAACGCAAGUUGCGCCCGAGGCUUGUCCGAGGGCAUUUCCGCUAGAGCGUCACC